AUUCGCUAGUAAUCGCGCAUCAGCCAUGGCGCGGUGAAUACGUUCCCGGGCCUUGUACACACCGCCCGUCACACCAUGAGAGUUGGAAAUACCCGAAGCCUGUGAGCUAACUUAAAGAGGCAGCAGUCGAAGGUAGAGCCAAUGAUUGGGGUGAAGUCGUAACAAGGUAGC
rnacentral:rRNA from 1 species